UACGUAGGGUGCAAGCGUUGUCCGGAUUUAUUGGGUUUAAAGGGUGCGUAGGCGGCCUGUUAAGUCAGUGGUGAAAUCCAACAGCUCAACUGUUGAUGUGCCAAUGAUACUGACGGGCUUGAGUACAGACGAGGUAGGCGGAAUUGACAGUGUAGCGGUGAAAUGCAUAGAUAUUGUCAAGAACACCGAUAGCGAAGGCAGCUUGCUAGCCUGUAACUGACGCUGAGGCACGAAAGUGUGGGGAUCAAACAGGAUUAGAUACCCUGGUAGUCCACACUGUAAACGAUGAUUACUCGAUGUUGGCGAUACACAGUCAGCGUCUUAGCAAAAGCGAUAAGUAAUCCACCUGGGGAGUACGCCGGCAACGGUG
rnacentral:rRNA from 1 species